AAUCAACGCUGGCGGCGUGCCUCAGACAUGCAAGUCGAACGAUUAAGACUCUCUUCGGAGAGUGUAUAAAGUGGCGCACGGGUGAGUAACACGUAGGUAAUGUACCGAAGGGUGGGGAAUAACUUAGGGAAACUUAAGCUAAUACCGCAUAAUGCAGCGGCUCGACAUCGAGACAGUUGUUAAAGGAGACAAUCCGCCUUUUAGAGCAGCCUGCGGCAGAUUAGCUAGUUGGUAAGGUAAUGGCUUACCAAGGCUACGAUCUGUAACCGACCUGAGAGGGUGGUCGGUCACACUGACACUGAAUAACGGGUCAGACUCCUACGGAGGCAGCAGUCGGGAAUUUUGGGGCAAUGGGCGAAAGCCUGACCCAGCAACGCCGCGUGAAGGAUGAAGUAUUUCGGUAUGUAAACUUCGUAAGAAUAGGAAGAAUAAAUGACGGUACUAUUUGUAAGGUCCGGACUAACUACGUG
rnacentral:rRNA from 1 species